rnacentral:rRNA from 1 species
UACAGAGGUGGCAAGCGUUGUUCGGAAUUACUGGGCGUAAAGGGCGCGUAGGCGGUUCGUUAAGUCCUGUGUGAAAUCCCCCGGCUCAACUGGGGAACUGCACAGGAAACUAGCGGGCUUGAGUUCGGGAGAGGUGAGUGGAAUUCCUAGUGUAGAGGUGAAAUUCGUAGAUAUUAGGAAGAACACCAGUGGCGAAGGCGGCUCACUGGCCCGGUACUGACGCUGAGGCGCGAAAGCGUGGGGAGCAAACAGG